rnacentral:lncRNA from 1 species
ACCUGACCAAAGAGGCGGGGGUCGCGGGCCGUGACAGAAUAAUGAGUAAUUUGUAAUAACUAGAUUGCAUUUGGAUGAAAAAGAAUGUAAAAAGAAUUGUAAUGUAAAAAUAUGUGAAUGUGAAUGUAUGUAAUAAUAUAGGAUGUGUUAUGUUGUUGAUACCUUCCUUAUUCAAUCUGUUUGUUGAAUACUGUUCCUGGUUGGAACCUUCGUAUUGUAUUGAUUGCGUUGCCUUGAAUGUACAGGGGAGACUUUGUCCGCAGUACAGGGGAAACCCUGUCCAUUCGGCGCUGUCGGCGGCGCCGCAAACCUGACCAAAGAGGCGGGGGUCGCGGGUCGUGACAGCGUGAGAGAGAGAGUCCACAGGGUCACCUCGUGGACCGUGGACUCUCUCCCCCUAUUUUAUAUUAUAUAUAUAAUUUUAUUAUUUAAAUAUAAUAUUGUGUAAUAUUUUAUAUUAUAUAUAUAUUAUUUAUAAANUAUCAAUAAUUAUUAUAUAUAGAUAAUAUAUAUAAUAUAUACAAUAAGAAAAAAUAUAUAUAAUAAUUUUUUAUUUAUAACAACAGUAAAAAAAACUAAUUUUAUAUUUUUAUUUAUAAAAAUUAUAUAUUUUUAUAUAAUAUUAUAUGCAGACUAUUACAAAUAUUAUAUUAAAUACUUAUAAAUUUAUCAUAUAUUUAAUUCAUAAAUAAUAAAUAAAUAAUAUAUCAAAUACAUAAUAAAAAAAAUUUCUACUUUUUUCUUUCAACUAUUUAACCAAACAACUGUAACGGUAAAAUAAUUUUCUUUUCCUACAAACCAAACACUAAAAGCCGUAAAAUAAAUUUUCCAUGAAAAACUUUUUACCACGGAAAAUUUUUUUUCCCAGUUUUACGUGGAACCAAACACAUCCUAAGGACCGAUACAUCCUCGACAAUUUCCUGGCUGCUUACAUCCUCACCCACCAUCUGCUCUCCUCCAAACA